UUUCCCAGAUUUUUGCAUUUAUAAUUUUCGGAUAUCGUGUUUUCAUACUCGAUUUGAUUUGGGGAGGGACAUGAAAAAAAUCGCUGAAGGGUUUGGGCGCAUCGCUUCAUUCCGAAGAGUGCGAGAAAAAAUGAGGAAAAAUUCAUACUUCGUCUCAUUCAGCGAUUGAUUUCGCAAGGGUAUAUUUCUGCUCGAGGGGAGGACAGCGAAAGCGAUCUUUAGCAUUUGACCACAAUCGACGCUCUCGAUUUGCUGUUCACCCAUUCUGCAGGGGUUCUCAGGCUAGACAGAAAUGGUGUGAAUUUUGGCACUGAGGACACAAUGCCAAAUGAGGAUCACAAAGAACUCACUGACCACCAGUUAGAUCAUCUGAACAGGUUGAUGAAACGUGAAAGGGCGUUUCAAUUGGUUUACGGAGUAUUAUUGUUUGUCUUCGGGUUAUUUCCAAUUCAUAUACAUCAGCUGGUAAGCCGAUCCCAGCGACCAAGCACGUCAGGGUUGCUGAAAUUCAGUAACCCAAAGGUUAUCAGUGACAUUUCAUUGUGGGAGAUUCAAAAACAUGACUUAUAUAUCGUGAAUUUGAAAGUUUUGAAAUGGACAAGUUCAUAUUUUUGGGCUAAAUGUUCACAUUAUGUAUUGGAUUGAGCAAGAAAACACCCUAUUGCAGAUAAAUGUUCAAUGGCCAUUCCUAUCGGAGGAUAUCGAGGUUCCCAGGGGCCUUAUUAUUGUGGUGUUGGGACUGAUAAGUCAUCCGACUAAGAUAUAUCUGAUGAUCGCUACAAGGCUUGCUUAUAUGCUGGUAUCAACAUUAAUAGCACCAAUGGAGUGGUGAUCUAGGCCAGUGAGAACACCAAGUCAGACGAAGCAUGGGAAUUGAAGCAGGAGAUCAUCUCUGGUGUUCAAGAUACCUUCUUUAGGGUGACUACAACGGUGCAGGAUGCCAUACUAACUAACAGGUUCGCACCAUAGAAAUAACUUGGACUUGUUUAAGAAUUUUUGUUCAGUGAAGGACCUUUAAGAGUGUGUUCUUUGACUUUUCUGCAAUACAAAAAGCAUGAGAGAAGAGGGAGGCUUUGAAGCGAUAAAGAAGGCAAUUCUGAAUCUCUCACUUUGCCAUGAGGAGCACAUUAGCGCCUAUGGAGAAGAUUGAUGGGAAAGCAUGAAACAGUCAACACCGACACAUUGUCUUCAGGAGUUGCCAAUUGUGGUUGAUCAAUCUGUGUGGGCCGUGACAAUGAGAAGCAAGGAAAAGGUACCAUAACAAUGACCAUACCAGUUCCCUUCUGUGCUCUAUCUGAAAAUCAUUUGGAGAUGCUCAACUUUAUCAAAUGAUUCCAGAAACACUACCACGAAAAAAUAAUACAUAUAAGUAUUAUUUAUCCUUUCUAGUCUCAGUCGAUUCCAUGAUUGCAACUAUGCACAAGGAAUUUUGACUUUUUAACAAUCAUAAAGCAUUCCCACAGUCUUGCUUCCUAAGCUGAAGUAAGGACUUUGGACAUCUUGGUUCUUUUAGUGCGUCAAAAACUUUCUGAAAUGCUUCACUAUUUCUGAAUCGAUAAAACGUACAAGUUCACCUUCCUUGCUCAGUUAGUUAAUGGCUU